rnacentral:rRNA from 1 species
GACGAACGCUGGCGGCGUGCUUAACACAUGCAAGUCGAACGGAAAGGCCCUGCUUUUGUGGGGUGCUCGAGUGGCGAACGGGUGAGUAACACGUGAGUAACCUGCCCUUGACUUUGGGAUAACUUCAGGAAACUGGGGCUAAUACCGGAUAGGAGCUCCUGCUGCAUGGUGGGGGUUGGAAAGUUUCGGCGGUUGGGGAUGGACUCGCGGCUUAUCAGCUUGUUGGUGGGGUAGUGGCUUACCAAGGCUUUGACGGGUAGCCGGCCUGAGAGGGUGACCGGCCACAUGGGGGGUGGGAGACGGCCCAGACUCUUCCGGGGGGGGGAGGUGGGGAAAAUGGCACAAGGGGGGGGAGCGUGUGGCGGCAACGCGCCGUGCGGAGGGAGGGCCUCCGGGUGUAAAACCGCUUUCGCCGGGGACAAGGGGGAAGGGAGGGAAAUGGGGAAAAAAGACCCGCUAAAUUAGGG